AGACUCCUACGGGAGGCAGCAGUGGGGAAUAUUGCACAAUGGGCGGAAGCCUGAUGCAGCAACGCCGCGUGCGGGAUGACGGCCUUCGGGUUGUAAACCGCUUUCGCCUGUGACGAAGCGUGAGUGACGGUAAUGGGUAAAGAAGCACCGGCUAACUACGUGCCAGCAGCCGCGGUGAUACGUAGGGUGCGAGCGUUGUCCGGAUUUAUUGGGCGUAAAGGGCUCGUAGGUGGUUGAUCGCGUCGGGAGUGUAAUCUUGGGGCUUAACCCUGAGCGUGCUUUCGAUACGGGUUGACUUGAGGAAGGUAGGGGAGAAUGGAAUUCCUGGUGGAGCGGUGGAAUGCGCAGAUAUCAGGAGGAACACCAGUGGCGAAGGCGGUUCUCUGGGCCUUUCCUGACGCUGAGGAGCGAAAGCGUGGGGAGCGAACAGGCUUAGAUACCCUGGUAGUCCACGCUGUAAACGGUGGGUACUAGGUGUGGGGUCCAUUCCACGGGUUCCGUGCCGUAGCUAACGCUUUAAGUACCCCGCCUGGGGAGU
rnacentral:rRNA from 1 species